AUAGGAAAGCCGAGUGCAUGAUGACGGUUGAGUCCUGUGCGAUUUCAACGCGUGAACCCUGUCAGGUCCGGAAGGAAGCAGCAGUAAGCGCAGUUUGGGAUGUGCUGCGGGGUCGCUCUGCCUGAGUGCGCUCGGUUUUUACUUUAUGUUUGAAUAAGGGGGAGCAGAG
rnacentral:SRP_RNA from 1 species